UCUGAAUGCAGCUGCCUGUCCACAGGAUGC
rnacentral:piRNA from 1 species